rnacentral:rRNA from 1 species
UACGUAGGGUGCAAGCGUUAAUCGGAAUUACUGGGCGUAAAGCGUGCGCAGGCGGUUUUGUAAGUCUGUCGUGAAGUCCCCGGGCUCAACCUGGGAAUUGCGAUGGAGACUGCAAGGCUAGAAUCUGGCAGAGGGGGGUAGAAUUCCACGUGUAGCAGUGAAAUGCGUAGAGAUGUGGAGGAACACCGAUGGCGAAGGCAGCCCCCUGGGUCAAGAUUGACGCUCAUGCAC